rnacentral:rRNA from 1 species
UACAGAGGGUGCGAGCGUUGUCCGGAAUCACUGGGCGUAAAGGGCGCGUAGGCGGCUUGAUAAGGUUGCGGUGAAAGCCCGGGGCUCAACCCCGGGUCGGCCGUGGCAACUGUCGAGCUGGAGCACUGUAGAGGCAGGUGGAAUCCGGGUGUAGCGGUGGAAUGCGUAGAGAUCCGGAAGAACACCGGUGGCGAAGGCGGCCUGCUGGGCAGUGGCUGACGCUGAGGCGCGACAGCGUGGGGAGCAAACAGG